GACGAACGCUGGCGGCGUGCCUAACACAUGCAAGUCGAACGGAAAGGCCCUGCUUUUGUGGGGUGCUCGAGUGGCGAACGGGUGAGUAACACGUGAGUAACCUGCCCUUGACUUUGGGAUAACUUCAGGAAACUGGGGCUAAUACCGGAUAGGAGCUCCUGCUGCAUGGUGGGGGUUGGAAAGUUUCGGCGGUUGGGGAUGGACUCGCGGCUUAUCAGCUUGUUGGUGGGGUAGUGGCUUACCAAGGCUUUGACGGGUAGCCGGCCUGAGAGGGUGACCGGCCACAUUGGGACUGAGAUACGGCCCAGACUCCUACGGGAGGCAGCAGUGGGGAAUAUUGCACAAUGGGCGGAAGCCUGAUGCAGCAACGCCGCGUGCGGGAUGACGGCCUUCGGGUUGUAAACCUCUUUCGCCUGUGACGAAGCGUGAGUGACGGUAAUGGGUAAAGAAGCACCGGCUAACUACGUG
rnacentral:rRNA from 1 species